GUACUCAUUUUGGCAGUACAUAUAUUAAAAUUGAAACAAUACAGAGAAAAUUAAUAUGGCCCCUGAGCAAGGAUGACAUGCAAAUUUGUGAGGCAUUCCAUAACUUU